rnacentral:rRNA from 1 species
GAUGAACGCUGGCGGCGUGCCUAAUACAUGCAAGUCGAGCGAACAGACGAGGAGCUUGCUCCUCUGACGUUAGCGGCGGACGGGUGAGUAACACGUGGAUAACCUACCUAUAAGACUGGGAUAACUUCGGGAAACCGGAGCUAAUACCGGAUAAUAUAUUGAACCGCAUGGUUCAAUAGUGAAAGACGGUUUUGCUGUCACUUAUAGAUGGAUCCGCGCCGCAUUAGCUAGUUGGUAAGGUAACGGCUUACCAAGGCAACGAUGCGUAGCCGACCUGAGAGGGUGAUCGGCCACACUGGAACUGAGACACGGUCCAGACUCCUACGGGAGGCAGCAGUAGGGAAUCUUCCGCAAUGGGCGAAAGCCUGACGGAGCAACGCCGCGUGAGUGAUGAAGGUCUUCGGAUCGUAAAACUCUGUUAUUAGGGAAAAACAAAUGUGUAAUUAACUAUGCACGUCUUGACGGUACCUAAUCAGAAAGCCACGGCUAACUACGUG